AAACGAAGUAGAAAGUGAUACAAUCCAAGGAACAGAUUUAAGAUGAAGAUCACCGUCAUGACGAUCCUGACGAAACUGUAAAACCCUAAUUUCAGCUUUACAUUACAAACCUCACUCACUUGCAAUGCGUGCGUAUAUCUCUCUCUGUAAAGGCAAAUGCAGAUUCUGUUGCUGCUUCAGAAACAGCAACCGCCAUGUGAGAUGGAAGGGAGGGAUAUGAGGAAUUCUGAGGAGCUGAGUGCCCUUGGUGUCAAAGAUGAAGAUUUGAUACUGAUAGUAUGCAAUGCUGCUUAAGAAAUCGUAUAGCGACCCAUCCACCAGAGGGCACACCCACGGUAUUUCUUUCAACAGGGUCGACCAAAUUGAAGUUUGCAGGGUCCUUAUUUUGGUCAAAGUUCCCAAACCCUUGGCCAAUAACAAAGAAAUUAUAUCCAUGCAGAUGAAGAGGGUGGCUUUCGGCACCAAGAAUGCUUGUGUCCUGCAUGAUCAACUCCACGCUAGUGUUAAAUGGAAGUACCACUAGCUUUGUACCA